rnacentral:rRNA from 1 species
AUUGAACGCUGGCGGCAUGCCUUACACAUGCAAGUCGAACGGUAACAGGUCUUCGGAUGCUGACGAGUGGCGAACGGGUGAGUAAUACAUCGGAACGUGCCUAGUAGUGGGGGAUAACUACUCGAAAGAGUGGCUAAUACCGCAUGAGAUCUACGGAUGAAAGCAGGGGAUCGCAAGACCUUGUGCUACUAGAGCGGCCGAUGGCAGAUUAGGUAGUUGGUGGGAUAAAAGCUUACCAAGCCGACGAUCUGUAGCUGGUCUGAGAGGACGAUCAGCCACACUGGGACUGAGACACGGCCCAGAAUCCUACGGGAGGCAGCAGUGGUGAAUUCUGGACAAUGGGCGAAAGCCUGAUCCAGCAGUGCCGCGUGCAGGAUGAAGGCCUUCGGGUUGUAAACUGCUUUUGUACGGAACGAAAAGCCCCGGGUUAAUACCCUGGGGUCAUGACGGUACCGUAAGAAUAAGCACCGGCUAACUACGUGCCAGCAGCCGCGGUAA